CGCGUAGGCGGGAUGGCAAGUCGGUCGUGAAAUCCCUCGGCUCAACUGAGGAGAGUCGGCCGAUACUGCUGUUCUUGAGGGAUGCAGAGGAGACUGGAAUUCCCGGUGUAGCGGUGAAAUGUGUAGAGAUCGGGAGGAACACCGGUGGCGAAGGCGGGUCUCUGGGCAUCUCCUGACGCUGAGGCGCGAAAGCGUGGGGAGCAAACGGGAUUAGAUACCCCGGUAGUCCACGCCGUAAACGAUGACGACUAGGUGUGGGGUGGUUCAGUCCAUUCCGUGCCGCAGCUAACGCAUUAAGUCGUCCGCCUGGGGAGUACGGCCGCAAGGUUGAA
rnacentral:rRNA from 1 species